rnacentral:pre_miRNA from 1 species
UUGAAGUGUGACAUGCCGUUUAAUGUGGAACUCUGAUUUUUAUAAUUUAUAAUUAAAUUGAUUUUGGGAAACGGGGUGUUACAAUUGG